rnacentral:rRNA from 1 species
UACGGGGGGGGCGAGCGUUGUUCGGAAUUACUGGGCGUAAAGGGCGCGUAGGCGGCCUUCUAAGUCAGACGUGAAAUCCCCAGGCUUAACUUGGGAACUGCGUCUGAUACUGGGAGGCUUGAGUGCGGGAGAGGGAUGUGGAAUUCCAGGUGUAGCGGUGAAAUGCGUAGAUAUCUGGAGGAACACCGGUGGCGAAGGCGGCAUCCUGGACCGACACUGACGCUGAGGCGCGAAAGCUAGGGGAGCAAACGGG